GUUUCCAGAGAGGAAACUGGAAAAUGGGAUAACAUUUGAAAUGAAAAUAAAUAAAAUACCCAAUUUUUAAAAAAAUACAGGUUAUCCAUUACAACUCUCAGCUCUUGAGAGUUGCCCGUCACCCUGUUGAGCCCAAUCUUUUUUUUUUUUUAUUUUUCUGGCAAAUAUUAACUUUCCUUUCCUCUUUCCACAGCUUUGUCAGCUAUAUUUUGAAAAAGCGUAAGAAAGAAAAGAAAGGUCAUUACUGGAAUCCAGUUCUUCCUUGACAUUACAAAGGCCAUGAGAUUUCAGAGUUCAGAAUAGUAGGGAGCUCAGGAUAAGAAGACAAAGAUAGACUUCUCAUUUCUCACCACAGACUAACAAACCACAACAGAUGCAUAUGGAAGAGUUAGAAUCUCCAGACACUUGGUAAAGUACACUAAGGCAGGAAGAUGGAUACAGUGUGACAUUAUGUCUCAAAACGUAGGGUCCUAACUGUGUCUGAUUUGUCUGAUUUGAAAGACUUGUGAGAUAACAUCCCAUCCUUACCUGAGUUCCUGCAUUAGUUCUUCCUAUACUGGCUGUUUGCUAAAUACCUCAUAUUUGUGUAUAUUUGGGGACAAUUAACUUUGUUUUAGCUACUUAAGAAAUUUUUCUUAACUUUCUACUACCUUAAUGUCCUAAGAGAUUACAAAUACCUCUAUAGAAUGUAUGUUGGCUGUGGAAGGUUAGUAAAACUAAAAAUGCAACUUUUGAAUUGGUUUACUACUGGACCAGGAGUAAAUUCACACAAUGGAUAUAUAAAAUAAAUAUUCAAAACUGGUCCAUAACAUUAUUUUCUUUCCAGCCAUUCUGAUACUUUUUUAUCAGUUUACUUUAAUUUGUUUAAGAAAAGGAAAUGAAAGAAGCAUAUAAGCAACUGGUAUAAUGUCAUUACACUGUGGGAAAUAUCUCAACUAUACAAAGCGCCAUAUACUAGCAUGUAUACUAUUCCUUCUACACAUUGGCUCCAUAUUGUUUUGUCUUAAUACCUAAAUCAUCACCAGGCCUUUGAUCCAUCAUAUUCUGGUCUAUAAGAAGGGCUUAACUGAGUAUCUAAGAUGGAGAGAGUGGAAUAAGAAGAAGGAAGAGCAGAAGAGGAAAGGAGGAAAGGGAAGGAUGGAGGGAAGGAAAAUAUGAGGAGAUAGAGAAGAGAGAGAAAUGGGAGAGAGAAAAUGGGAGAAAAUGGGGACAUCUCAUCCAGUCAUACCAGUACUUGCAGAAGUUUUCCUAGCAACCUGCAGAGCUCUCACUAGGAUCCAGAACAUUGUUUCUCAGCCUGACUAAUGCUGUCACACUUUUUAUUCUUUUAUUAGGUAUUUUUCAAUUUAUAUUCCAAAUGUUAUCCCCUUCCCCAGUUUUCCCUCCAGAGACCUGCUAUCCCAUCCCCAGUCCCUCUGCUUCUAUGGGGUGCUCCCCCACAAACCCACCCACUCCCUCCUGACACCCUGCCCUGACAGUCCCCUACACUGGGGCAUUGAGCCUUGAUAGGACCAAAGGCCUCUCCUCCCAUUGAUGCCUGACAAGGCCAUCCUCUACUAUAUAUGCAGCUGGAGCCAUGGGUUCAUGUAUGUGUACACUUUGGAAGAUGGUUUAGUCCUUAGGAGCUCUGGGGGAUCUGGUUGGUAUUGUUGUUCUUAUGGGGUUGCAAUCCCCUUCAGCUCCUUCAGUCCUUUCUCUAACUCCUUCAUUGGGGACCCUAUUCUCAGUUCAGUGGUUGGCUAGGAGCAUCCACCUCUGUAUUUGACAGGCUCUGGCAGGACCUUUCAGGAGACAGCUAGAUCAGGUUCUUGUCAGCAUGUACUCCUUGGCAUGUGCAAUAUUGUCUGAAUUUGGUGGCUGUAUGUUUAUGGGAUGGAUCCCCAGGUUGGGCAGUCUCUGGAUAGCCUUUCCUUCAGUCUGUGCUCCAAACUUUGUCUCUGUAUUUCCUCCUGUGAGUAUUUUUGUUCCUUCUUCUAAGAAGGACUGAAGCAUCUGUACUUUGGUCAUCCUUCUUCUUGAGCUUCAUGUGGUCUAUGGAUUGUAUCUUGUGUAAUUCGAGCUUUUGGGCUAAUAUCCAUCUGUCAGCGAGUGCAUACCAUGUGUUCUUUUGUGAUUGGGUUCCUUCACUCAGAAGAUAUUUUCUUGUUCCAUUCAUUUGCCUAAGAAUUUCAUGUAGUCAUUGUAUUUAAUAGAGGAGUAGUACUCCAAUGUGUAAAUGUACCACACUUUCUGUAUCCAUUCCUCUGUGUAGUGAACUCCAGCCAUAAAGUUAUAUUGUUGAUACUUAUAACUGUGAUGUUUCUAUUGUUAUGAAUCAUAACUGUAAAAAUCCGAAAUGCAGGAUAUCUGAUAUGUGACACCUAAAGAAGCUAUACCUCACAGUUGAGAACCACUGUUCUAAUAUCUUACAAUAACACCAAGCUGAAAAUCGAGAUGAUGAUGAUCAUCAUCAUCAUCAUUAUUUUUUUUUCUUUUUUUAGGAGCUGGGGACCGAACCCAGGGCCUUGCGCUUGGUAGGCAAGCGCUCUACCACUGAGCUAAAUCCCCAACCCCCAUUAUUAUUAUUUAAUCUUUUUUUUCAGUUCUUUUCUGCCCCACAACUGUUCCUCAUCCUAUUCCUCCUCCCACUCCCUGGGGACUCAAGUCUCUCGAGGGUUAGGUGAAUCUUCUUUCCCUGAGGUCAGGCUUUAAAUGUUGAGAUUGGCACAAUCAAGAUAUACAUUCUAGCAAAUGCUUAAUUCAGUGGACUUCUGCUUUGAUUGUACCCAUAGAUCCCUUAGCGUUCUUACUGUCAGAUUCUUUAGUCUUAAUAGUUCAUUUAUUUUAGCCCCUCUGAAUGAUAUAAAAAUUAUAAGUUAUUUAAUCAACUCUAUAAGUGCCACACAUUUAUAUUAAUUUAAAUUAUUUAUCAAUUACUUCAUGACCUCUUGUAAGCAAAAGAAAGGCAAGAGAUUAUAAGGGGAAAAAUUUCAUGCAUGGACCCAAACGUAUACUUGUCCCUGACAGAAAUUAUAUUGCUGCCAUGCAUAGAUCAUAAGAACUAAUUUAUUUUAUAUAAAAUGCCAGUGGCUAUAUAUAGCCUUAAAAUUCCUUCCUGAUAAUAUGAAUUGUAAAUGCCUCAACAUCAGGCGUUCAGAACAGAAAGUGUGGCAGCUCCAGACCUGCUCUACAUAACCGUAAGGUAUGUGUUUCUAAAGUGUCAUAGCCACUCACAGAAUGUUAAAAAUUGAUGCUGAACAAAUGCUUGUAAAUGGAUAAGAAAGUAAAUAGGUAUGUUUGCUGUUACAAAAACGUAAAGCAUUUUGGGAAAUUCUGAAUAGAAUCAAACUCAGAAGAAUAAAACUGCUUGGUUAAAAUGCUCUUUCCAUGCAGACACUGAGCUUUUGGCAUAACUUCUUCAUAUUUUUCCUAAUUCACUGCUCACUUUCCAUCUGGUACAACUUCCAUUUUACUCUCUGGUUCUAACAUGUUCAUCUUUAUUUUAUUUUUUAAGAUAUUCCAUUUGUGAGUGAAAUCAUGCAGGGUUGAUUUUAUGUUGGUAGCUUAGUUCACAUAGGAAUCUUUAACCCAGAAAAUCAGGUAAAAAUUUGUAUAAUAUAACUGACCGUUCCAGUAUCAAGAAGAUCCACUGACUGCCACAAACAUAGUAUGCCUACCUUGCUUCAUUUUAAGUCCAGGAAAUAAUGUUGUUAGCACAUAAAAACAUUUUAGUAAAAUAACAACCCAUGUUGAUGGCAUUGUUUAUGCCAGGCUGAUCACCGCAAACCUUACCUUUUACCUCAGGUUUCUAUAGGGAUUCCCCUCUCCUCAUUGGAACUCUCUGUUCAAGUUACUGUACCCAAGCAUUCGACAUGACUGUAACCAGACAGCUUUCCUCAUAUUUUGUCUCUUUCAUCUUUUUAUCAUUGGAUGCUGUUGUUUUCAUUCACAAUGAUAAAGUAGGUUCAUUACUCUAAGUUUUCAGUUAUCUAUAAUCAUACACAUGCAUGUACUUCGGGAAAUGAGGAAAAAUAAUGAAUUUCUAUAUAUUUAUUGACAGCUAUAUGCAUCUAUUUCUACAAGCAUAGUACACCUAUCGUGGUACAUUUUAAGUCCAGGAAAUACGAUUGUUAAAGACAGAGUUUAAUUUAAUAAUUUUUUUUACUAUUUUUAUACCUCUCUACCAUCUAUAUGGUAUCUAUCCAUCAUUUAUCUAUUAUUUAUCUUAAUCUAACUACUUGUCAUUUACCUGUCUAUCCAUCAUAUAUUUAUGCAUCCUCUAUUUAUACAUCAAUCCAUCCAUUGACUUCCACUUGUGAAAAUGAUUUUUCAUUGUCAAAUAAUAUGAACUAAGUGAAUUUCCAUAUCAAAGAAUUCUGCAUAUUAAGUGAAUAAAAAGCUCAGAAUACUCAAAAUACAACCCACAAACCAUAUGUAGCUUAAGAGGAAGAAAGACCAAAAUUUAGAUGCUUCAGUCCUAGAUAGAACAGGGAACAAAAUAAACAAAGGAGCUAGAGGGCUGGACCUGGGAGGGAGAGAGAUGCGAGAGGGGGAAAGAGGGGGGCAGGAACAAGAAAGAGUUAAAAAGGAACAGGAAAUUGAAUAUAAACAUGUAGGAGACGGGGAUAUAGAACUGGGGUAGCCACUAGAAAGUCACAUACUACAGUAAGAGACUCCCAGGAGCCAAUGGUGAUGACUAUAGCUAACAAAGGGGAGAAACAACAUUUAGAGACCACCUCCAGUAGAUAGGCACAGCCCCUAGUUGGGAAGGGGGCCACACACAUAUUUCAAAAAUGUAAAGCCAGAAUGUUCUUGUCCAAAGGAAAGACAAGGACAAAAACAAAACAAAACAAAACAAACAAACAAACAAAAAACCCCAAAAAACAAAAACCCAUACAACAUAAAAGCAGAGACUGAAGUAAAGCCAACCAGAGACAACUACAGCUAGAGAUCCAUCUGAAUACACGAAAUCCACAUACUAUUGCUGAUGCCAAGAAGUGCUUGCUGGCAGGAGCCUGAUAUUAUUGUUCUCUGAGAGGUUCUACCAGAACCUGAGCAAUAUGGAUGUGGAUACUUACAGACAGCCAUCAGAGUGAGUCUGGUGAUUCCAAUGGAAGAACUAGGAGAAGGACGGAAGGAGCUGAAGGGGGUUGCAACCUCAUAAGAAGAACAAUAUCAACUAACUGAACCACUCAGAGCUCUCAGGGAUCAAAUCACAAAGCAAAGAGUAUACAUGGAGGAAACCAGGACUCCAGAUACAUAUGUAGCAAAGGAUGACCUUUUCUAACAUCAAUGAGAGGCAAGGGAAGCUUGAUGCCCCAAAGUAGGGCAGUUAGGCGACAGUGGGGAACUGAUAGUAGGUAACUUUACCUCUUAGAGGUAAAGUAGAGACAGUAGGGUGGAAGGGAUGGGUGAGUUGAUUGAGGGUUAACUAAGAAGUGGGAUAUCAUUUAAAAAAUAAAGGAAAAAAUUAAAAUUAAAAGAACAAGAUCAACCAAAAUAUUAUGAAGAAUAAGAAGAACGAUAAUGUGGAAAAUUAUAUGGCAUAAUAAGAAAACUGAGAUUUAUGUUUAUGAAAAGGCUAUUAUUGUCAUUUAUAAUUUAUAAAAAUAACAAUAAGUUUAUUCAAGAAAAAAUUAUUUAAUAUUCCUGAAGCUUGCACAUCAUGAAUAUACGAACUUCACAACUCAUCUGGGCCCACUCUAUGAGUAAUAAAUGUGAUAGACAAGCCAACAUUUCUCGCACUUCUUGGUUGGUAGACAAAGACAGACUUUUCAUUUUGGAAAACAUGUUUUCAAAGGAUGCCUCCUAGUAGCACAGGUGGAGAGCUGCUGGCCUGGUCCUGUCUCCAUUCAGUAACACAGCAGGUGGCUGAAGAGACUCCAACACUUGAUUCUUUAAAAGUAGGUUUAGUGGAGUGGGUGAAGUAAUCAGGCCAUUGUACUCUCACAUUCACAGUGUAAGGAGCUAGAAAUAUCAUUGUUUCAGUAUGAAGGCAUGUUAAGGAAAGGUAUGAGCAUUCUCACAUAGGCCCAUCAGACUUCCUAACUAUGAUGUUUAUUUUCAUUAACCUUAGCCUAAUUUAUUUCAUUCUUGCUUUCAAAACAUCUUACACAGACACGGACUGAAAGAAAAAUAUUAAAAGACUUCAGUGUUACUUAGAAACCUAAUCCACCCAAUCAUACCAGAGGUUAGUAGUUAUUUAUUUUGUGAUAUUCUAUUUAUAGACUUUGAUAUCAGUGAGUUUUUAUUCAACAGUAGUCAUUUUUAUUUCUUAUUUUAAGGUGAUUCUAGACAGCCUGGUACUUUAGAAAACUUUUCAUACAGGAAUUAUAUUAAUCUUUUAAAAGAAGAUUAAGAGUCUACCAAGAAAGCUCUAUGGACAAAGUGAUUGUCAUGUAUGCAUGAAGACUAGUGUUCCGAUUUCAAGAACUCAUCAAAGCCAGAAAGGCAUGCUGGCUGCCUGUCAUUGUAGCACUAUGUAGGCUGAGUCAAACCAAAAGAGUACCUGGACUAAGCAGAAUUGACAAGUUUUUUCUUAGUGAGAGACUUGAUCUCAAUAAAUAAAAUGAAGAGAAAUCAGGGAAGACAACCAACACCAACUUAAAUCCUCACAUACAUUCUCAGGAAUGGGAUUCCUGGUCCUUAUGAUAGUUCUACUUAUACCUUAAGAACAUACUCUUUAUUUUCCAUAAUGGCUCUAAUUGUAUUUUCACCAUUGUUUGCUAAGCUAUCCGUCCCAAUUCUUCACUAAGACUUUCUCUUGUUGUCUGGUAAUAGCCAUCUCAGCAAGGUGUGGAUUUGCCUCACUUUAGUUUUGGCUCACAUGUCUUGAUGUCUCCGAAGGUUAAACAUUAUUUAUUAUCAUCUGUUUUAUGCUAGUAUGAUAUCUUUCUUUUAGAAAUCUCUUUUCAUGUACUUUGACCAUUUCUAAAGUUACCUUUUCUUGCUAUUGAAUUGAGUUCUCUGUGCAUUUUGUUACCUCCUUUUCAGAUUCAUGAUAUUUUAAUAUUUUGUUUCAUUUUAUAAGGUAUCUCUUGACUUUGUUGAUGGUUUCCUUUGCCAUAAGGGGAGUUUUUAAUUUUUUCCAAUUUGUAAAAGCAGUUUUCAUUAGGAGUAGCCAAUUUACAAAACUUGCUGCUCUCUAUAGACUUGGAGUUGAAAGCUGUUAACAUCAUGUUAUAUUAGUAGUUACGUUAUUGACAAGGAGGUCCAGUUUCCCUCCAGGCAAACACUAAUGUCAUGAGUUCACACUUCAGUACCCAUGGGAACAUUGUUGUAGAUAGAAGGAAAAACCAAGUUUUGAUUUAUCUGGGAAAAUUGAAAGCUCUGGAAAAGAGUCUAGUUUUUAAACAGUGACUCGCAAGGAAUAGGAAUCUACUGCAUCCAGACAAACAAACGGCAGAGAGAUUGAGAUAGGCAUAGACAUAGAGGGGGGGCAGAGACAGAGAGAGAAUACAUAUAUUUAAAAUCAUAUGCAUUGAUUUAUUUAUUAACUGAAGUUGAAAAAUAUAGGGCUAAAAGAAAAUAGAAAGAAACAUUUAAAUACCCUUUUGUCACAAUUAAUAAAUCAAAUAUAAAGGAAAUAAAUUAAAAGUAAAGUCUUCCCUUUUUAGCAGAAAACAAUCUGAAGAACCUAAGUUGUACUAAGCUUGCAAUUAUGGCAAAAGAAAAACACAUUCACUUUUUCCUUACAAAAUCUAUAUUAAAUGAAGAUGACUCAGUGAAUACUUUAUAGUAGUGCAGUUGUUAUUAAUACAGAUGCAACAAAGCCAACUACUUUAUUGAGGAAUCCUCACUGGUGUUUAUUGUAUUUUUUCACUGAAACCCAUCCUAUUUCAUGUACAUCAAAUUGAUAAUAUUCCAGUUGAAACAUAAUGAAUGUGCAGCAGUAAAUAUCCUACAGUCUAUACCUCAGCUGGGCCUUCUCCAGUAUAUCCUCAUAUUCAUAGUGACAUUUUAUGUUUCUCUUGUUUUUAAUUUCUGUGUGUGUGUGUGAGUGUAUGUGUGUGUGAGAUUUGGUAUAAUACUAUUGUCUGUCACAUCAGUAGUAAAUGCCUUAGAAUCCUCAUCAUUUCUAAGUUAUGAAUAUCCAUAAUUUCUGCCUUAAGAAAUGUCUUGAUUAUCAAGGUAUUCUAACCCAAGCAGUCUAGCUCUAGGUAUAAAUUACAGUAUUUUAACUUCUUCUCCUUUACUGAUUUUUAUCUUCUUUUUCAUGGUUGGUUGAUUUGUUUCAUCUUGUUGCUAGUUAUGUGUGGAAAAAUAAGAACCAUUUGGGAAAAAAUUCUGCUAACACCACGAAGGCAAACUGUUGAAAUUUAUUUAGGACACUUAUGCUUUUAUUUUAAUUUAUGUUAUAUCUGUGUUUAAACAUAUUUUAAAGACACAAUAUAAUUAAAAAGAAACAUUUUAUAUCAUUUCAACUUAAGAUACAAAUAUACAAAGAAUAGUGGAACCAGUAGAAAGCACAACAUAAUACUAUAAUAAGAAAAUAGCUCUUAGAUUGUUGUUGUUGUUGUUGUUGUCUUUGUUUUCUUUCAUGGCUUUGGCAAUAGUAGUGACAACUUACUGCUUUGAAGUGAUGAAGUUGCUAAGGAUGUAGAGCUUAUAUGACAGACAACAAUGCCUACAACAAAGCAAAGGAAAUGUAAAUCAGAAAUUAGGCACCAGAGAAGAGGAAUAACAGGUCAGAUCAAAUAAGAGGGCUACUUAAUUUUGUGUUGUAGAAAUGGAAUUAAAGUAAUGGUAAGUGCCAUGUGAAUUUAGGCAAGAAAACUAUAAAUUAUUGUUUUCUUAAUAAAGAUUUUUUUAUUUAUUGAAAAUUUCAUUCCCCUUACCCUCUGGAUUACUCCCUUGUCCCUGCCCCAUACCUGCCAGGAGAAUGAAUAGAAAUAUGCAGUAGUGUGGGGUAGGGGAUGGCAAGAACCACUAGAAAGUCCCAAACAGCAGGGAUGUGAGAGGCUCCUAGGACCCAAUGGGGAGAACAUUAACUGAAAUGCCCAACAGUGAGGAGAGGGAACCUGAAAAGACCACCUGCAGUAGAUAGAUGUGCACCUGGUUGAGGAAUUAGGCCACUCACCCAUCUCCAAAUUUUUGUUUCAGAAUCAUUUCUGUAAAAAGGAAAUUCAGGGACAAAACCCAAUGGACUAGAGACUGAAGCAAAGGUUCAGUAUAAAUUAAUUAGGGAAGGAAAUACAGCCUCCAUGAUACAAACAUGCUGUCUUCAGAAGAGCCUCCUCCUGCACAGCCAGUCAUAAUGAAGAUGAUUAGAGACCUCAGAAGACUCAGCCCUAACUGAAAUCAAAUCCUUCCUCUUAGAGCUCAGAGAACAUCAUGGAAGAGAAAGCAGAAAGAUAUAAGAGCCAGAGGGCAUGGAUGUCACCAAGAAAACAGGCCCUCUAAAUCAACAUGAGCAAAGGACAUAUGAACUCACGGAGACUUGAAACAGCAUGGACAAGGCUUACAUGGGUCUGCACCAUCCACUUUACUGCUUUAUAGGAUUCCUGAGGGAAUGGAGGACUAAGUCUUGGAUUUUCAUGCCUUUUUUUAGGUUCUAUUCUUUCUGAUGGUUUGUCCUUUUAACUUUUAGGUGAUACAUUUGGCUUUAUUGUUUUAUAUUUUAUUUUUAUACUUUAAAAGUGAAUGAAUAAAUGGUUCAUCGAAAA